rnacentral:ncRNA from 1 species
CAACCGAAACGGCAAACUCAUUGAAAAGUGAGGACGCAAAACCGAGGGCCUAAAGCGUGACGCUAUGGCAGCCUGGUUUCCGAA